GACAGAGGGGGCAAGCGUUGCUCGGAAUUACUGGGCGUAAAGGGCGCGUAGGCGGCCUGCUAAGUCGGACGUGAAAUCCCUCGGCUCAACCGGGGAACUGCGUCCGAUACUGGUUGGCUUGAAUUCGGGAGAGGGAUGCGGAAUUCCAGGUGUAGCGGUGAAAUGCGUAGAUAUCUGGAGGAACACCGGUGGCGAAGGCGGCAUCCUGGACCGAGAUUGACGCUGAUGCGCGAAAGCCAGGGGAGCAAACGGG
rnacentral:rRNA from 1 species